GCCAUAGCUCAGUGAGAGAGAGCAUCUGCUUUGAAUGCAGAAGGUCCCUGGUUGAGUCCAUGGCAUUUCCAGGUAGGGAUA